GAUGAAGAACGUAGUGAAAUGCGAUAAGUAAUGUGAAUUGCAGAAUUCAGUGAAUCAUCGAAUCUUUGAACGCACAUUGCGCCUGCCAGUAUUCUGGCGGGCAUGCCUGUUCGAGCGUCAUUACAACUCUCAAGCCCCCCGGCUUGGUGUUGGGGACCGGCCACCGGUGCCCUGCUGCUUCCGCGGCAGGCGCGCCCGGCCGCCCCCGAAAUGAAUUGGCGGCCCCGUCGCGGCCUCCCUCUGCGUAGUAGCACACAUCUCGCAGCUGGAGCGCGGCGCGGCCACUGCCGUAAAACGCACCAACUUUUUUUUACAGUUGACCUCGAAUCAGGUAGGAAUACCCGCUGAACUUAAGCAUAUCAAUAAGCGGAGGA
rnacentral:misc_RNA from 1 species